rnacentral:rRNA from 1 species
GAUGAACGCUGGCGGCGUGCCUAAUACAUGCAAGUCGAGCGAACAGACGAGGAGCUUGCUCCUCUGACGUUAGCGGCGGACGGGUGAGUAACACGUGGAUAACCUAUCUAUAAGACUGGGAUAACUUCGGGAAACCGGAGCUAAUACCGGAUAAUAUAUUGAACCGCAUGGUUCAAUAGUGAAAGACGGUUUUGCUCACACUUAUAGAUGGAUCCGCGCCGCAUUAGCUAGUUGGUAAGGUAACGGCUUACCAAGGCGACGAUGCGUAGCCGACCUGAGAGGGUGAUCGGCUACACUGGAGCUGAGACACGGUAAUGACUCCUACAGGAGGCAGCAGUAGGGAAUCUUCCGCAUUGGGCGGAUGCCUUAUGUAUCAACGCCGCGUGAGUGAUGAUGGACUUCGGAUCGUAGAACUCUGUUAUUAGGGAAGAACAAAUAUGUAAGUAACUAUGAACGUCUUGAGGUUAACUAAUCAGAAACGGACGACUAAUUUCGUG